UACAGAGGUCUCAAGCGUUGUUCGGAUUCAUUGGGCGUAAAGGGUGCGUAGGCGGCGCGGUAAGUCGGGUGUGAAAUCUCGGAGCUUAACUCCGAAACUGCAUUCGAUACUGCCGUGCUUGAGGACUGGAGAAGGAGGACUGGAAUUUACGGUGUAGCGGUGAAAUGCGUAGAUAUCGUAAGGAAGACCAGUGGCGAAGGCGGUCUCUGG
rnacentral:rRNA from 1 species